rfam:Culex pipiens quinquefasciatus supercont3.482 genomic scaffold, whole genome shotgun sequence.
GGGACCGUGGUGUAGGGGUAAGCGUGGUUGCCUAUCAUCCAGUCGGCAUGGGUUCGAUUCCAGACGGUCCCG